UGGUACAUCCAAACAGCUUGACGGUCCU
rnacentral:piRNA from 1 species